rnacentral:rRNA from 1 species
GUAUGUCACGAGCGUUAUCCGGAUUUAUUGGGCGUAAAGCGCGUCUAGGUGGUUAUGUAAGUCUGAUGUGAAAAUGCAGGGCUCAACUCUGUAUUGCGUUGGAAACUGUAUAACUAGAGUACCGGAGAGGUAAGCGGAACUACAAGUGUAGAGGUGAAAUUCGUAGAUAUUUGUAGGAAUGCCGAUGGGGAAGCCAGCUUACUGGACAGAUACUGACGCUAAAGCGCGAAAGCGUGGGUAGCAAACAGGAUUAGAUACCCUGGUAGUCCACGCUGUAAACGAUGAUUACUAGGUGUUGGGGGUCGAACCUCAGCGCCCAAGCAAACGCGAUGAG